rnacentral:rRNA from 1 species
AGAGUUUGAUUAUGGCUCAGAACGAACGCUGGCGGCAUGCCUCAUACAUGCAAGUCGAACGAGGUCUUCGGACCUAGUGGCGCACGGGUGAGUAACAUGUGGGAAUCUACCUGAAGGUUCGGAAUAACUGCGGGAAACUGUAGCUAAUACCGGAUGUGUCUGCAAAGAGAAAGAUUUAUCGCCUUCAGAUGAGCCCGCACUAGAUUAGCUAGUUGGUGAGGUAAUUGCUCCACCAAGGCUCCGAUCUAUAGCUGAUUUGAGAGGAUGAUCAGCCACACUGGGACUGAGACACGGCCCAGACUCCUACGGGAGGCAGCAGUAGGGAAUAUUGGACAAUGGGGGAAACCCUGAUCCAGCAAUGCCGCGUGAGUGAAGAAGGCCUUCGGGUUGUAAAGCUCUUUCAUCAAUGAUGAUAAUGACAUUAGUUGAAGAAGAAGCCCCGGCUAACUUCGUGCCAGCAGCCGCGGUAAUACGAAGGGGGCUAGCGUUGUUCGGAAUCACUGGGCGUAAAGCGUAUGUAGGCGGAUCAAAAAGUUAGAUGUGAAAUCCCUGGGCUCAACCCAGGAACUGCAUUUAAAACUAGUGAUCUAGAAUUUGGUAGGGGUUAGUAGAAUUUCCAGUGUAGAGGUGAAAUUCGUAGAUAUUGGAAAGAAUACCAGUGGCGAAGGCGACUAACUGGGCCAUUUUUGACGCUGAGAUACGAAAGCGUGGGUAGCAAACAGGAUUAGAUACCCUGGUAGUCCACGCAGUAAACGAUGAGUGCUAGUCGCUGGGACAAUAGUUUCAGUGUCGAAGCUA